GUUUUCUUCUCAGCCUCUCUAACAGGAAGCCUUUGGACUGCAAACUUUGUUUGACCAGGACUGUUGUUUGUACGUUCUGCUUUUAUUUGCUUUUCAAUGAGAGAACUGCAAAGCAUGGGUUGGCGCAGUAAAGCAGCUGGUGUGGAAGUGGAUCUCUUGCUGGUGCUGGAGAGAGGAAGAGAAGCUUUGGGAGCAGAGCUGCACCUCUUCACCCACUGGGCUGAAGAUGAUGACCAAGUGCUGGGUUCCUGCCCUUCUUCUGAGCAAAAGGUUGCACUGGAUCCUGAGCCACCCCAUGUCCUCCUGUAGGGCAGCACCUGUGGUGCUGAGUUACCUCAUGGCAGCUGUGAGUGUUUUGAGUAUUUUGGGGAAAGAAAACAUCCCCAGAAUAAAUAUCAGUCCUUUAUGUUGCAUGCUGCAUAAUGGGAGUGUAACUUAUUGCCAUUGGAGAGCAGAGUGUUUGGCAGCCGCCAUCAAUCCUCGAUUCCAAUUGACUCUGCUCACGCUUAAACAAAAAUAAAGGAUGUGCAGGCAAACAGUGAGCAUAAUUGGAACAACAAGAGGAGUAUUUUGAUUAAUCACAGUUUGAGUAUUAACUGGGUGUAAUGCAGGUUCUCUUGUACAGACAGAGGCCCCACCAUGUGCGCCUGUCUCGCAUUUGCAGCAGCUGAAUAACAGAUGUGUGGAGCAUCACGGUGUGUUUGCCAGCCUGCAGUGGGAUUUUGGGUGGUGGUUUCCCCCCACGUGUUGGAAUGGUGCUACCAACAUCAACAAAGUGGCACUGAGGAACGUGGUUUGGUGGGCAUAGGGGUGAUGGGUUGGUGGUUGGAUUGGAUGAUUGUAGUGGUCUUCUGCAACUUUAAUGAUUCUGUGAUUCUAUAAAUUGCUGGGACAAAGUGGCAUCUAAUUAGAAACAUGCAUGAAUGUGGGUCUGGUCUUCAUUUCUGCACUGGAGAGGAAACAUUGGAAAGGAAAAUCAGGUAUCAGCAUUUGUUCUUGGUGACGCCUCCAAGGACACUUGGUCCAUUUUCAGCUCCAAAAUAAAAAACCUCUCAAACUUGGAGCCAGACCUGGAUAAAAAUGUCCAGCUGCAAGUGGGCUGGCUUGUCACAAAGGGAAAAUUUGGACAGAGAAAUCUUUGCAAAGGUGAAAUUGAGCUGGGAACAGAGGCUGGUGCAAAGCUGCCUUUGUCUGCUUGCCCAAGGUGCAGGCAUUGUGCAGAGGGCAUCUCCUGGUGCUUUAGGAGAUGAAUGGAGGCUCUCAGUGGGGCAGACGUGCCUGAUGGGAGCGAUGCAAAGCCGUGGCAAUGCAUGGAGCAUAAGCUGAGUGGGUUUUCUGGCUCCAUUGGGGUUAUGUGGAUAAAUGGUUCCUUGUUUUCUUCUGGCAGUGUUGUGACAAAUCCCAGCAAGCAAUCUCCUUCCAGAAACCGUCAAAGCAAAAAGGAUGUCAUCUUGAUUACACUGAACCUAGAGAAAAAAAGCUUGGGGCAGUGGAAAGCCAAAAAGAGGAAUUGUUGUUGGGUCAAAGGGAAGCUCCACUGAGCAAAGUGUUCAGGUUUAUGGGUGGGGAGGGCUGAAACUGAGAGCCUCAGCUUCAGAGGAGCCUCAGAAACUCGUGGGUGUCUCUGUUGCUUGCUUUGUCCCUGGGGUGAGGGUCAGAGUGAUUAAUUAACAGCAGGGCUGAACAGCGGAUCACUAUCUGCCUGAUAAGAGCCUGGCCAUAGAAACCCUGAUUGUUGCAGGAGAGGUCUCAAUAGCCUCAGUGAAUCGCUUUGGGGCUGUUUGUCCUGCCAGUAAGAGAGAGGAUUUCCUUUUUAAAAUCCAAAUCAGAGAUACCGAAAGGCUCCUGUAUGGCUACAGGAGGCAGGUAGGACUUUGGGGACACAAUGCCACCUGCAGAACCAUGGGCUUGGCCCAUAGAUGGACUUGAAGCAGUUCUGCUACCUGGAGUCCUUACUGUUGCCCACCCUCAGUGCCCACUAGGAUAAUAAUGAGUUCCUUGGGACCAAGCUAAGAAAUAUCAUGGGCUGCCCGGGGAUGGUGAUCCCUGAAAUUGUUCAAGGAAUGUCAGGAUGUGGCACUGAUGGACA